rnacentral:rRNA from 1 species
UACGGGGGGGGCAAGCGUUGUUCGGAAUUACUGGGCGUAAAGGGCUCGUAGGCGGCCAACUAAGUCGGACGUGAAAUCCCCAGGCUCAACCUGGGAACUGCGUCCGAUACUGGAUGGCUUGAAUCCGGGAGAGGGAUGCGGAAUUCCAGGUGUAGCGGUGAAAUGCGUAGAUAUCGGGAGGAACACCCGUGGCGAAGGCGGCUUCCUGGGUCCAUCCUGACACUGAGGCGCGAAAGCGUGGGGAGCGAACGGG